UGGGGGAUAUUGCACAAUGGGCGAAAGCCUGAUGCAGCGACGCCGCGUGGGGGAUGAAGGCCUUCGGGUUGUAAACUUCUUUUGCUCUGAACAAGGCGCACCAUGGGGUGUGUUGAGUGUAGGGGUUGAUUAGCGCCGGCUAACUACGUGCCAGCAGCCGCGGUAAUACGUAGGGCGCGAGCGUUGUCCGGAAUUAUUGGGCGUAAAGGGCUUGUAGGUGGCUGGUUGCGUCUGUCGUGAAAGCCCAUGGCUUAACUGUGGGUUGGCGGUGGUUACGGGCUGGCUUGAGUGCAGUAGGGGAGGCUGGAAUUCCUGGUGUAGCGGUGGAAUGCGCAGAUAUCAGGAGGAAUACCGGUGGCGAAGGCGGGUCUCUGGGCUGUUACUGACACUGAGGAGCGAAAGCAUGGGGAGCGAACAGG
rnacentral:rRNA from 1 species